rnacentral:rRNA from 1 species
UUGGUGCUUGCAUCAUGAUUUACAUUUGAGUGAGUGGCGAACUGGUGAGUAACACGUGGGAAACCUGCCCAGAAGCGGGGGAUAACACCUGGAAACAGAUGCUAAUACCGCAUAACAACUUGGACCGCAUGGUCCGAGUUUGAAAGAUGGCUUCGGCUAUCACUUUUGGAUGGUCCCGCGGCGUAUUAGCUAGAUGGUGGGGUAACGGCUCACCAUGGCAAUGAUACGUAGCCGACCUGAGAGGGUAAUCGGCCACAUUGGGACUGAGACACGGCCCAAACUCCUACGGGAGGCAGCAGUAGGGAAUCUUCCACAAUGGACGAAAGUCUGAUGGAGCAACGCCGCGUGAGUGAAGAAGGGUUUCGGCUCGUAAAACUCUGUUGUUAAAGAAGAACAUAUCUGAGAGUAACUGUUCAGGUAUUGACGGUAUUUAACCAGAAAGCCACGGCUAACUACGUGCCAGCAGCCGCGGUAAUACGUAGGUGGCAAGCGUUGUCCGGAUUUAUUGGGCGUAAAGCGAGCGCAGGCGGUUUUUUAAGUCUGAUGUGAAAGCCUUCGGCUCAACCGAAGGAAGUGCAUCGGAAACUGGGAAACUUGAGUGCAGAAGAGGACAGUGGAACUCCAUGUGUAGCGGUGAAAUGCGUAGAUAUAUGGAAGAACACCAGUGGCGAAGGCGGCUGUCUGGUCUGUAACUGACGCUGAGGCUCGAAAGUAUGGGUAGCAAACAGGAUUAGAUACCCUGGUAGUCCAUACCGUAAACGAUGA